rnacentral:rRNA from 1 species
AUGACCAUGCCCUCGCAAUACUCCAAGCUGCUGCCCAUCCUGCUCCUCCUCCUUGCAACAGCGACCCACACCAUCAUCCUGGCUGCCGAUGCUGCUGAACAGCAACAGCAUCCGAUCACGCUUGAGGGUUGCCCCGAAAAGUGCGGCGACAUCAGCAUUCCCUUCCCGUUCGGCAUGAAGCCCGGCUGCUUCCGUGAUGAUGGAUUCAAGGUCAUCUGCAACGACUCCUUCCACCCUCCUCGCGCGUUCCUUCCUCGAGACUCCGCGCUUCGUGAAAUCGGUGAUGCGAAAUACUCCUCUUUCUACUCUGACUCCUCUUCCGAUUCUCCUGCUCCUCCCGACCCGUCCAAGGCGGUCAUCACUGCUUACGAGACGGCCUACUCCGCCGCGCUCGUGGAGCUCUUCGACAUAACGCCUAACAGGAGUGAGCUCCGUGUGUACGGCGGGGUCACAUCCGACUGCGUCGACUUCGGUGCGAAAGACCACCGGGUCAACAUGCAAGGUACCCAGCUCGGCCCUCAGAAACCUUUCCUCCUGUCCCUGCGGCGCAAUGUUCUCAUCGGCGUCGGCUGGAACGCGCUUGCCCAGUUCGUCCUGUCCGUGCACGACAGGACCCCCCUGCUCGCCUGUGUUUCGUCCGUGAGAAUCGACCCGACAAACGGGAUCUGCACGGGGAUGGGGUGCUGUGAGGCCUCCGCCCCGCCUCAAGCGCCUAGAGAUCCUGAGGGCCUCGAUUCCUUCUCGGACUUGAAUGGCCUUGUGCUAUCUAACAAACACCCAAGGGGUGUCCCCGUCGUACUUGAAUUCGCCAUCAGGAGCGGGAGCCAUUCAUGUCCAGUGGAAGGCCAGCAGCGGCCUCAGGACUACGCGUGCAUUAGCGACAACAGCUUGUGUGCCACGCCACCCAGCGGGGGCGGCUAUAUCUGCAGGUGCUCGCAAUAUUAUGACGGCAACCCUUACGUCAAGAAUGGCUGCCAAGAUAUCAAUGAAUGUGAGGCCGGUCAUAAUUGCUCAGAGGGAUCCACCUGCGACAACAUAAUAGGAGGAGGCUAUGAGUGUCCAUGCAACUCGGGAAUGACAGGCGAUGGCAAAAAGGGAGGCUGCCAAGAGAGGUUUCCCUUACCUGCAAAGGUGUCUGUGGGUGUUGCUGUAGUCAUUGUUGUAAUUCUCUUCAUGGUUGGGGCACAUCAACUCCACAAACUCAAAAAGUUCUAUGAACAAAAUGGUGGUCCAAUACUAGAAGGUAUAAAGAAUAUAAGGAUCUAUACAAGCAAACAACUUGAGCAGAUGACAAAUAACUACAAGGUUAUUAUUGGAGAGGGCCAUUUUGGUAAAGUUUAUAUGGGAACUCUAAAAGAAAAACAAGAAGUGGCUAUAAAGAAGACAAUCAAAGUUGAUGAAGGUAGCAAGAAGGACUUCAUUGAUGAAGUUAUAAUCCAAUCUGGAAUGAGGCACAAGAACAUUGUCAGGCUCCUAGGUUGUUGCUUAGAGAUGGAUGUUCCAAUGUUGAUGUAUGAGUAUGUAGUGAAAGGGAGUCUGUAUGAUGUUCUGUUCAAAAGCAAAGAUAGCGUUCCAGUGGAUACACGUCUCAGGAUUGCCAUUGGUUCAGCUGAAGGCUUGGCAUACAUGCACUCAGCUGUGGAGAGUACCAUCCGUCACGGUGAUGUUAAAUCUGCUAAUAUACUUCUUGAUGAAAGCUUCACCCCAAAAAUUUCGGACUUUGGAACCUCAAAGCUGCUUGCAAAAGGAAAAUCUGAGAAGACUGAAUGGGUCACUGGAGACAAGGCUUACAUAGAUCCAGCAUACAUGGUUCAUGGGAUACUUACACAGAAGAGCGAUGUAUACAGCUUUGGAAUUGUUCUCAUAGAGCUUAUCACAAGGAGAGUUGCAAGAUAUGAUGACAAUAUGAGUUAUGCCAAAAACUUUGUUGAAGCUUGUCAAGAUCAAAGAGCAAGGAACUUUGUCGACAAUGAUAUUACAAGUGAGAAGGAUAUUGAGCUCUUGGAAAUGGUUAGUGAAGUCGCUCUGGAGUGUCUCAAACUUGAUCCAGAGGACCGCCUAGAUAUGAGACAAGUCGAGAACCGUCUCUAUAUUAUAGGACAAUUUGAGCAGUAUGGGCAAGAGAGGAACUAUCAAGGAAAUCUGAGUCCUGGUAUGGAGGUUCCUUUCCUUAAACCCGUGGAGAUCAAAUCUUCUACCAACUAA